UGUUCUGUUUUGUUUUUCAUCCCUUUUGAUGUAAACUACAUUUUGCUCAACAUAAUAUUUUAUGCACUAGUUUAAUUUUUUUUGUUUGGUUACAAGAGAGAAAAUGCACUAGUUUAAUUUAGUCCAGAGCAAGCAGCAUUAUUAUAUUUUUUGGAAUUUUAAGAAUCAUUUUAGCUAAAAUAGAAAAUAAGCUACUUAAAAAAAUAUAUGAAUGAGCUUAUAGCUCAUAGUGUAUGAACUAGCCGAUGAAUAAAAUCAUAUGUAC
rnacentral:lncRNA from 1 species